rnacentral:rRNA from 1 species
ACGGGGGGAGCAAGCGUUGUUCGGAAUCACUGGGCGUAAAGGGCGCGUAGGCGGUCAGGUAAGUGGGAUGUGAAAUGCCUCGGCUCACCCGAGGACCUGCAUCCCAAACUGCUUGGCUUGAGUAUGGGAGAGGAUGAGGGAAUUCCUGGUGUAGCGGUGAAAUGCGUAGAUAUCAGGAGGAACACCGGUGGCGAAGGCGGCUCUCUGGGACGGUACUGACGCUGAGACGCGAAAGCGUGGGGAGCGAACAGGA